rnacentral:rRNA from 1 species
UACAGAGGUCUCAAGCGUUGUUCGGAUUCAUUGGGCGUAAAGGGUGCGUAGGUGGCGCUGUAAGUCAGGUGUGAAAUUUCGGAGCUUAACUCCGAAACUGCAUUCGAUACUGCGGUGCUUGAGGACUGGAGAGGAGACUGGAAUUCAUGGUGUAGCAGUGAAAUGCGUAGAGAUCAUGAGGAAGACCAGUGGCGAAAGCGGCUUCCUGGUCCAGUACCGACGUUCAGGCACGAAAGCGUGGGGAGCAAACAGG